rnacentral:rRNA from 1 species
GACGAACGCUGGCGGCGUGCUUAACACAUGCAAGUCGAACGGAAAGGCCCUGCUUUUGUGGGGUGCUCGAGUGGCGAACGGGUGAGUAACACGUGAGUAACCUGCCCUUGACUUUGGGAUAACUUCAGGAAACUGGGGCUAAUACCGGGUAGGAGCUCCUGCUGCAUGGUGGGGGUUGGAAAGUUUCGGCGGUUGGGGAUGGACUCGCGGCUUAUCAGCUUGUUGGUGGGGUAGUGGCUUACCAAGGCUUUGACGGGUAGCCGGCCUGAGAGGGUGACCGGCCACAUUGGGACUGAGAUACGGCCCAGACUCCUACGGGAGGCAGCAGUGGGGAAUAUUGCACAAUGGGCGGAAGCCUGAUGCAGCAACGCCGCGUGCGGGAUGGCGGCCUUCGGGUUGUAAACCGCUUUCGCCUGUGACGAAGCGUGAGUGACGGUAAUGGGUAAAGAAGCACCGGCUAACUACGUG